CGGCGCCGCCAUUAUCUCUUCAAAUUUCGAAUCGUCUCCCAGUAACUCGUUGCCCAUUUAACGAUAAGUAAUAACAUCAGAUUAUAAAAUUUGUGAGAAUAAUCGCAAAAUACUACUUCACCUAUAAAUGACGUUGUUUGAUUAAACGAAUCAAACAUGAUGAUACAUUGAAUCAGUUAGUGAAAACGUUGGUGGAAGCCUCGAACCAGCGCGCACUCCUACGCGGCCUCUGAUUGGUCCAAUAUCAUCCGACGUACUUGGCCAUUUUAAGAAGUGUUCGCGCAGCAGCGCCAUUGCCUCGUCGAACUUCGAAUCCACUGCUUCGUCUCCAGGCUGCAUGGUUGUCUCCAAAAUUCAGAGCCUAAAAAGGAUCUUAAAGCUUCUUGAAGUGGAUCCCUGAUCACUAGACUUCGGGGAAAAACAUGAUAAUAAUGUUCUUGCUAGGUGAUCAUCGACCAUAAACUUCAAGUGGAGAAUCUCUGUAAUUGGAAUUUUCCGAAAGAAUCCGAUAGCUACUUCAAGCGGAUCUCUAAUGUUCACCAGACUUAGUAAAAAUUGGCAAUAAUUUUUCCUGCACGCAAUUGAGUCUUCUCAUGUGUUUGAUCAUCAACCAUCGAUAUAACGUGAGAAAUUUCGCAUCGUUCUUCGUGGGAGCAUGUCAUGAGCUUCUCAUCAUACUACCCUGACUACAUUUAAUCCACUACACUGAACCUACAACGCUUCAACCUACUACCAAUAUAUCUAUGCUACUACACAGUUGUAACCUUCAGGGAGGCAGCGACAUCCGGGUAAAAUCCGAGACCCCCGAGCUCGGGGAGAGCAGAUCGGGUCCGGUCUUGGUACCGGCAGCGAUGGGUAAGUCCCAGCAGUUGGAUUUCCUCGAUUUCUUUGCCAGCUCACACGAUGGUGAACGCUGGCAUCGGGGUCGUUGUAUGUAUCUAGAUUUGAGUAUCCUAAUCCCCAUCCUUAUUUCACGUGGCGUGGCGGUAAUUUUAGAUUUUAAAAUCAUUUUAUUAGCUCAGGUAAUCGUAGGUUUGGUUGCUGUUGAGCAUAGCGCACCUGCACUUAGUAGAGUCACAAAUAUUGAAUUAUCUCAGAAAUGAUCAUUCUGCGGUCAGUAAAUCGAGUGGCUAGUCAGUUAACAAAUAGUUUAUGAAUUAUGAACUAUUUGAACAAAAAAACGAUCAUCGAUCAACCUUGUAAGCAAGAGUGUGCGGCUCAUAGGCAACGGUAGAGACCAUCGUUCGAUCGGUACGCGCAAUCUUUUGAUUUUAAAAUAAAUUUUAGUGGUUGAUUUCGUUUGCGUCGAUCACUCAACGGUAGAAAAAAUUUAGUCGUUCAAACGGUGGUUCUUUACCAUAGUAUCAAUCUCUAUAUAAGGAUCAGGUAUGAAAUUUAGCAACUUCAAUGAAUUAAGAAAUUUGCGAUUUUAUAGCAAAACUUACAAAAAUAAUCCAUUUUGUUAUUAUCAAUUCUAUUCCACUUCAACUAAUCAACUGUAACUCAUAAACGGAAAAACAUCUCUUUUUUUCUCCCUGAUUCUCUGCUAACUUUAAAUAUCCGAUUAAGCUUCAAGCAACUACCGCGGACAUCAUGUAUAGAUUAAGAAUAAAAAUGAAAUUACGAUUAAUUGUAAGUCUUAACUAUGGUUUUAAUAAAUAAGUAAAUUGAAAUUUCCAAAAUCGCUAACUAUGAAAAUAAUAUACUUGGGCAACGUUUUCUCUUCUGCUUCUGAAAUCUUCAGAAAUCGAAAGAUUUGACUGACUUAUAUUUAUAAUUGGGUUCGAUUCCCGUUCAAACAAGGAUAUUACUUCACUACAUAUUGUAUUUUUUUUAACAUUAAUAAAAAAAUUAAAUUACUUAUAAGAAACCUAAAGGAUGGUUCGGUAAUGGAUAUUACUUCGCUGCAUAUUGUAUUUUUCUCAACAUUAAUAAAAAAAGGAAAUUACUGAUAAAGAACCUAAAUGCAUAGUUAGGUAAUGGAAAAAUUACCUUCAGAAUUAAUGUCAAGUUUCAAUAGGUCAAGACUGCUUGUAGUAAAUUAAGAAACUUUAUAUAUGGAGAUUAACGAGAUCUAGGAUGUUUUAUCAUACAAGAAUCUUACUUUCCUAACAUAAAUCUUUCGAACCUCAAUUUGUUUUAUUGAGUACACAAAUAGAUAUGAGAUGAAUUAGAGACAUUCCUUUGUUGUAAUGAAAUUUAUUUCCCAAAGAUUCUAUUGGAAUCAUAUUUUAGAAAAUCAUUCUGCACUCAGUCAAUGUGCUCGACUUACGUUUACGAUCAAAAAAUGAAUGAUGGUAAUGAUCAUAAUUAUCACGAUGAUGGUAAUAAUCUGUAUCCAUGGAAAUUUAUGUGUACAUACAUAAUCGUAUGUAUGUGUGGAUGUGUGUAGAGUCAUUUUGGGUAGCUGAACUGUACACUUAGUACUGUCACACCCGAUGACCAUGUAUGUGGAGUCAUUGAGGGCAACUGCGUGCAACGGGUGGGUGUACGUGAAGACGUUAUUCAAUAGUAAUAACAAGUUUGCGUACCCUUAGCUGCUGCGCUCAGUUAUACCCGAUGACUAUGUAUGUGUGUGGGGUCAUUUUGGGUAGCUGAACUGUACGCUUUGUACAGUCACACCCGAUGACCCCGUAUGUGUGUGUGUGCGUAUGUUGGAUGUACGUGGAGUCAUUAAGGGUAACUGUGCGCAACGGGUUAGUGUACGCAAAUACGUUGUUCAACAGUAAUAACAAGUUUGCGUACACGUGACUGUUGCGCGCAGUCACACUAGAUGACUAUGCAUGUGUGUAGAGUCAUUUUGGGUAGCUGAACUGUACGCUUCGUACAGUCACACCCGAUGACCAUGUAUGUGGAGUCAUCGAGGGCAACUGCUUGCAUCAGGUGGGUGUGCGUGAAGACGUUAUUCAAUAGUAAUAACAAGUUUGCGUACCCUUAGCUGCUGCGCUCAGUUAUACCCGAUGACUAUGUAUGCGUGUGGGGUCAUUUUGGGUAGCUGAACUGUACACUUAGUGCAGUCACACCCGAUGACCACGUAUGUGGUAUGUAUGUAUAUGUUUAUCGAUAUGGAUGUAGAUUGUUAUCAUCGUCAUGUCUACGAUUUAUAUAGUAUACUUCAAUUUUUCAUAAUAAAUCAAUUUCACUAGAGUUGUAUAUUCAUGUAUAUUUCACCAAGGUCAUGUUUUGUGCAUGAAUAAAUGUACAUAAGUACAAGUACAAUUUGCGAUUCUAUUACGAAAGUUACAUCAAUUAUCAAUUCAGUUAUCCUGCAUUCUUCUUCACUUACAAUUCAACUAAUUAACCGGCACUCAUAAAGAGACAAAAAUAUCUUUCAACAUCUCUUAUUUCUCACUGAUUCUCUGCUUACUUCAAAUAUCCGAAUAAGCUUCAAGCAACUACCGCGGACAUCAUGUAGAUUAAGAAUAAGAAUAAGAUUACCAUUAAAUCUCGAUGAAUAAAAUAAGAUUUUCCAAAUUGUCAACUAUCACAAGAAUAUUCUUUGGCAAUGUUUGCUCUUCUGAAAUCCUUAAAAUUCGGAUGACCAUGCCUGACUUCCAUUGAUGAUCGGGUUCGAUUCCCCUUCGAAGACAAAUAUUAGUCCACCAUAUAUUGUAGUUUUGGUAAGCAUUAAGAAAAAAUAAAAUUACCCCAAUCUAUAGUUAGGAAAUGUAAAAAUUAACUUAAGAAUUAUUGUCCAGUGUUCAUAAGUUAAGACUGCUUGUAGUAUAUUAAGAAACUAUACGUAUAACGAGAUUUAGGAUGUCUAAUCAUAAAAGAAUUUUUCUUCCCUUACACAAAUUGUUCAGCCCUUAACUUUUUUUCUCGAGUACACAAAUAGAUACGAGAUGAAGCCUUUUUUUUGCAAUGAAAUUCAUUUCUCAAAGAUUCUGUCGAAAUCAAGUUACUAAAACUCAUUCGAAGAUUAUGAAUGUUG